UUCACUUCGUGGAGGGCCUCCUUAAAGCUCCCUUUUCAAUAGAAAACGUUGAAGGGAGGUCCUUCAUUGGGCGGCUGUCAAAUGCCUUCCACAGAAGGAUCCGUUGGAUUCCAAGAAGGUCAACACCAUAGUAGACUACACAACGCAACAUUUCAGCCUACUUCCAGGGCAGCUGGAGAACUCGUCCUCCUUACUAGCCCGGGGAUAUUAAAUGGAUGUGUUCAAGCACAAA